GACGAACGCUGGCGGCGUGCUUAACACAUGCAAGUCGAACGGAAAGGCCCUGCUUUUGUGGGGUGCUCGAGUGGCGAACGGGUGAGUAACACGUGAGUAACCUGCCCUUGACUUUGGGAUAACCUCAGGAAACUGGGGCUAAUACCGGAUAGGAGCUCCUGCUGCAUGGUGGGGGUUGGAAAGUUUCGGCGGUUGGGGAUGGACUCGCGGCUUAUCAGCUUGUUGGUGGGGUAGUGGCUUACCAAGGCUUUGACGGGUAGCCGGCCUGGGAGGGUGACCGGCCACAUUGGGACUGAGAUACGGCCCAGACUCCUACGGGAGGCAGCAGUGGGGAAUAUUGCACAAUGGGCGGAAGCCUGAUGCAGCGACGCCGCGUGCGGGAUGACGGCCUUCGGGGUGUAAACCGCUUUCGCCUGUGACGAAGCGUGAGUGACGGUAAUGAGUAAAGAAGCACCGGCUAACUACGUG
rnacentral:rRNA from 1 species